rnacentral:rRNA from 1 species
CACGUAGGGCGCAAGCGUUGUCCGGAAUUAUUGGGCGUAAAGAGCUCGUAAGCGGUCUGUUGCGUCCGCUGUGAAAACUCGGGGCUUAACCCCGAGCCUGCAGUGGAUACGGGCAGACUAGAGGUAGGUAGGGGAGAAUGGAAUUCCCGGUGUAGCGGUGAAAUGCGCAGAUAUCGGGAGGAACACCGGUGGCGAAGGCGGGUCUCUGGGCCGAAAUUGACGCUGAGGAGCGAAAGCGUGGGGAGCAAACAGG